rnacentral:snRNA from 1 species
UUGCUUUGACAGCACAUAUACUAAAAUUGGAACGACACAGAGAAGAUUAGCAUGGCCCCUGUGCAAGGAUCACACGCAAAUUCCUGAAGCAUUCCAUAUUUUU